GGUUAAGCGACUAAGCGUACACGGUGGAUGCCCUGGCAGUCAGAGGCGAUGAAGGACGUGCUAAUCUGCGAUAAGCGUCGGUAAGGUGAUAUGAACCGUUAUAACCGGCGAUUUCCGAAUGGGGAAACCCAGUGUGUUUCGACACACUAUCAUUAACUGAAUCCAUAGGUUAAUGAGGCGAACCGGGGGAACUGAAACAUCUAAGUACCCCGAGGAAAAGAAAUCAACCGAGAUUCCCCCAGUAGCGGCGAGCGAACGGGGAGCAGCCCAGAGCCUGAAUCAGUAUGUGUGUUAGUGGAAGCGUCUGGAAAGGCGCGCGAUACAGGGUGACAGCCCCGUACACAAAAAUGCACAUGCUGUGAGCUCGAUGAGUAGGGCGGGACACGUGGUAUCCUGUCUGAAUAUGGGGGGACCAUCCUCCAAGGCUAAAUACUCCUGACUGACCGAUAGUGAACCAGUACCGUGAGGGAAAGGCGAAAAGAACCCCGGCGAGGGGAGUGAAAAAGAACCUGAAACCGUGUACGUACAAGCAGUGGGAGCACGCUUAGGCGUGUGACUGCGUACCUUUUGUAUAAUGGGUCAGCGACUUAUAUUCUGUAGCAAGGUUAACCGAAUAGGGGAGCCGAAGGGAAACCGAGUCUUAACUGGGCGUUAAGUUGCAGGGUAUAGACCCGAAACCCGGUGAUCUAGCCAUGGGCAGGUUGAAGGUUGGGUAACACUAACUGGAGGACCGAACCGACUAAUGUUGAAAAAUUAGCGGAUGACUUGUGGCUGGGGGUGAAAGGCCAAUCAAACCGGGAGAUAGCUGGUUCUCCCCGAAAGCUAUUUAGGUAGCGCCUCGUGAAUUCAUCUCCGGGGGUAGAGCACUGUUUCGGCAAGGGGGUCAUCCCGACUUACCAACCCGAUGCAAACUGCGAAUACCGGAGAAUGUUAUCACGGGAGACACACGGCGGGUGCUAACGUCCGUCGUGAAGAGGGAAACAACCCAGACCGCCAGCUAAGGUCCCAAAGUCAUGGUUAAGUGGGAAACGAUGUGGGAAGGCCCAGACAGCCAGGAUGUUGGCUUAGAAGCAGCCAUCAUUUAAAGAAAGCGUAAUAGCUCACUGGUCGAGUCGGCCUGCGCGGAAGAUGUAACGGGGCUAAACCAUGCACCGAAGCUGCGGCAGCGACGCUGAUGCGUUGUUGGGUAGGGGAGCGUUCUGUAAGCCUGCGAAGGUGUGCUGUGAGGCAUGCUGGAGGUAUCAGAAGUGCGAAUGCUGACAUAAGUAACGAUAAAGCGGGUGAAAAGCCCGCUCGCCGGAAGACCAAGGGUUCCUGUCCAACGUUAAUCGGGGCAGGGUGAGUCGACCCCUAAGGCGAGGCCGAAAGGCGUAGUCGAUGGGAAACAGGUUAAUAUUCCUGUACUUGGUGUUACUGCGAAGGGGGGACGGAGAAGGCUAUGUUGGCCGGGCGACGGUUGUCCCGGUUUAAGCGU
rnacentral:rRNA from 1 species